rnacentral:rRNA from 1 species
UUGAUGUUCUAACGUUGACCCGUAAUCCGGGUUGCGGACAGUGUCUGGUGGGUAGUUUGACUGGGGCGGUCUCCUCCUAAAGAGUAACGGAGGAGCACGAAGGUUGGCUAAUCCUGGUCGGACAUCAGGAGGUUAGUGCAAUGGCAUAAGCCAGCUUGACUGCGAGCGUGACGGCGCGAGCAGGUGCGAAAGCAGGUCAUAGUGAUCCGGUGGUUCUGAAUGGAAGGGCCAUCGCUCAACGGAUAAAAGGUACUCCGGGGAUAACAGGCUGAUACCGCCCAAGAGUUCAUAUCGACGGCGGUGUUUGGCACCUCGAUGUCGGCUCAUCACAUCCUGGGGCUGAAGUAGGUCCCAAGGGUAUGGCUGUUCGCCAUUUAAAGUGGUACGCGAGCUGGGUUUAGAACGUCGUGAGACAGUUCGGUCCCUAUCUGCCGUGGGCGCUGGAGAACUGAGGGGGGCUGCUCCUAGUACGAGAGGACCGGAGUGGACGCAUCACU